rnacentral:misc_RNA from 1 species
CGUGCAUCUUCGAAAUACUCGAUGAGAAUACAAACACAGCUUAGUGUUAACUUGGUAUGAGAAGCACCAUGUAACAGUGCAAAACUAAAUAAAGACCCAUAAAUGACCAAGAGACUAGUAUUACUCAUGUUAGAACUUAAGAACCAAAAACCUGAACAAAAACUUUGCCAGAGUAUGAGCAUUAAACUGCGGAGCAAACCUGAGGUGUAGGAGAUGGAGGG